rnacentral:rRNA from 1 species
UACGUAGGGGGCAAGCGUUGUCCGGAUUUAUUGGGCGUAAAGAGCGUGUAGGCGGCCAAACAGGUCAGCUGUGAAAACUCGAGGCUCAACCUCGAGACGUCGGUUGAAACCGUUUGGCUAGAGUCCGGAAGAGGAGAGUGGAAUUCCCGGUGUAGCGGUGAAAUGCGCAGAUAUCGGGAAGAACACCCGUGGCGAAGGCGGCUCUCUGGGACGGUACUGACGCUGAGGAACGAAAGCCAGGGGAGCGAACGGG